UUUUUUUUUUUUUUUUUUUUUUUUUUCAGGGCCACGCCUGUGGCAUAUGGAAAUUCCCAGGCAAGGGGUCGAAUCAGAGCUACAGCCACUGGCCUACACCGCAGCCACAGCAACUCGGGAUCCGAGCCACAUCUUCGACCAACACCACAGCUCAUGACAACACGGGAUCCCUAACCCACCAAUCGAUGCCAGGGAUCGAACCUGCAUCUUCAUGGAUCCUAGUUGGGUUCCUUAACCAUUGAGCCAUGAAGGGAACUCCAGUACUGGGGACGUUUGAAGCUAAGCAUAUAUGCCUAUUAUGAAGGGGCUUGGAAGGUCCCAAGGAGUCCAAGCAUGAGUCGAUUGGAGUCACAAGGGUCAGAAAAGGUCAACGUCAUCAUCCUUUAGGCUCCAGUUGAUCUGGUGGUUGAGCAGUCAGGCUAAUCUUUACCGCAGACAUCGGAGUGGUAGUCUUUACAACUGAGAUAUUAUCUUUGCUUUCGUUACUCCUCUGGCCUGAUGACAGUUGUUCCGGCAUUCCUCUGUUCCCUUCCGAUCAUUCAUUACGGAGACGCGUUCAAGGGCAGGCGUUGUGACCAGGCUUCGAUCACAAAAUGGCUCAGGCCAAAAAUGGCUUUUCUUUGGGCAAGAAAGUUGUUUUCCUGUUGGGGCUCAGCGGGUUAAGAACCCAACUAGGAUCCAUGAGGAUGCAGGUUUGAUCCCUGGCCUCCCUCAGUGGGUUAAGGAUCCAGCAUUGCGGUGAGCUGGGGUGUAGGUCGCAGAUGCGGCUGGGAUCUGGCAUUGCUGUGGUUGUGGUGUGGGCCAGCAGCUGCAGCUCUGAUUGGACCCCUAGCCUAGGAACUUCCAAAUGCUGCAGGUACGGCCCUAAAAAAAUGGAAAGAAAAAGAAAAAGAAAGUCACGUCUGCUUUUCUUUCCCUGGGGACCCCUCUCUUAACUGCUAACACCUUUACUCAGGCCAUGGUGCCCCAGGGGCUCUCCUGGCUCCACCUAUACCCUCUUGGGCCCUCAACGUGUGCUAACAACCCUAGGACCCUGGGAGUUCCCAUGGUGGUUCUGCAGUAAUGAACCGGACUAGUAUCCAUGAGGACACAGGUUCAAUCCCUGGCCUCCCUCAGUGGGUUAAAGAUCCGACAUUGCCAUGAGCUGUGUCACAGACUCGGCUCGGAUCUGGCGUUGCUGGGUGGCUCUUGCAUAGGCAGGCAGCGACAACUAUGAUUCAACCCCUAGCCCGGGAACUUACAUAUGCCAUGGGUCUGACCCUAAGAAGACAAAGGAAAAAAAAGAAAAACCCAAACCAUAGGACCCUGUGCCUCAAGGUCAGGGAUGGGAAUCCCUGAGCCUCGCAGUCAUGAAAAGAAAGCACUGGAUGUUGUCACUGGUUCAGGUCAGAGAACAUCCAGCAGCCUCUUGACAACACCCCAGCUUUGCACAUGGUAACUCCUCACUGGCACAAAACCGGACCUGCACCAGGCCAGUCCUCACUCUGCAAGGCUCCCAGCUUCCAGAUGAUAGACACGCGAUGAGAUUGGCAAUCCCCGAGGGACAUUUAGCCUUUUGCUUUACUAGGAUGGAGGAAGAGGGCGGUGAAAAGGUCCAAGAAGAGGAGUUCCUGUCCUGGCUCAGUGGUUAACGAAUCCGACUAGGAACCAUGAGGUUGUGGGUUUGAUCCCUGGCCUUGCUCAGUGGGUUAAGGAUCCAGCGUUGCUUGAGCUGCGCUGCAGGUGGCAGACUCGGCUCAGAUCCCAAGUUGCUCUGGCUGUGGCUGUGGUGCAGGCCGGCACCUGUCGCUCUAAUUGGACCUCUAGCCUAGGAACUUCCAUAUGCCCCUGGUGUGCCCCUAAAAAGCAAAAAAUAAAAUAAAGUGAGGUUCCAAAUAGCAUCAAAAAUGAAUAGAUAGCUGUUCCCAUCGUGGUGAAGUGGUUAGCAAAUCCAACUAGGAACCAUG
rnacentral:lncRNA from 1 species